rnacentral:rRNA from 3 species
GGUGGAAGCGUAGCGAUACGUGGAGCUGACGAAUACUAAUCGAUCGAAGACUUAAUCAA